rnacentral:rRNA from 1 species
AGAACGAACGCUGGCGGCAUGCCUAAUACAUGCAAGUCGAACGAACACUUCGGUGUUAGUGGCGCACGGGUGCGUAACGCGUGGGAAUCUGCCCUUGGGUUCGGAAUAACAGUUGGAAACGACUGCUAAUACCGGAUGAUAUCGAAAGAUACAAAGAUUUA